UAUCUCUGUAGAGUCUGCAUAUCAAUAAGCGGAGGAAAAGAAACUAACAAGGAUUCCCCUAGUAACGGCGAGUGAAGCGGGAAGAGCUCAAAUUUGAAAUCUUCAAGGUUUGACCUUGACGAAUUGUAGUUUAAAGAAGUGUUUUCGGUUAGAGGAGUAGUAAAAGUUCUUUGGAAUAGGACAUCAUAGAGGGUGAGAAUCCCGUAUUUGACUAUUCUUUCUAGCUUUGUGAUACACUUUCAAAGAGUCGGAUUGUUUGGGAAUGCAGUCCAAAAUGGGUGGUAAAUUUCAUCUAAAGCUAAAUAUUGGCGAGAGACCGAUAGCGAACAAGUACCGUGAGGGAAAGAUGAAAAGAACUUUGAAAAGAGAGUUAAACAGUACGUGAAAUUGUCAAAAGGGAAGCGUUUAACACCAGUGUUGUUUUUCCGAAAAUCAAUUAAAAAUUGAUUCAUGCCAGGUUGUAUUGACCUUAUCAGCUUGCAAUUUGGUUUUGGGUCUCUUUUUGAUGCACUUUUCGGUUAACAAGUCAACAUCAAUUUCCUUUGCUGUAAAAAGGUAAGAGGAAGGUGGCUUCAAUUUCGGUUGAAGUGUUUAUAGCCUUUUAUCUCUGCAGUCGGGGAGAUUGAGGUCUGCAGCGUAGAUCCUUCGGGGCUAGAUACAUUUAAUGCUAAGUUAUAGCUUUUCAUAGACAACUUGUUAGACUAUGUUUAGUCAUGUAGCUUACUCGUAAGUGCUAUUUUACCUACGCUUAGGAUGUUGAAGACUCUACAGAGAUA
rnacentral:rRNA from 1 species